GACGAACGCUGGCGGCGUGCUUAACACAUGCAAGUCGAACGGAAAGGCCCUGCUUUUGUGGGGUGCUCGAGUGGCGAACGGGUGAGUAACACGUGAGUAACCUGCCCUUGACUUUGGGAUAACUUCAGGAAACUGGGGCUAAUACCGGAUAGGAGCUCCUGCUGCAUGGUGGGGGUUGGAAAGUUUCGGCGGUUGGGGAUGGACUCGCGGCUUAUCAGCUUGUUGGUGGGGUAGUGGCUUACCAAGGCUUUGACGGGUAGCCGGCCUGAGAGGGUGACCGGCCACAUUGGGACUGAGAUACGGCCCAGACUCCUACGGGAGGCAGCAGUGGGGAAUAUUGCACAAUGGGCGGAAGCCUGAUGCAGCAACGCCGCGUGCGGGAUGACGGCCUUCGGGUUGUAAACCGCUUUCGCCUGUGACGAAGCGUGAGUGACGGUAAUAGGUAAAGAAGCACCGGCUAACUACGUGCCAGCAGCCGCGGUGAUACGUAGGGUGCGAGCGUUGUCCGGAUUUAUUGGGCGUAAAGGGCUCGUAGGUGGUUGAUCGCGUCGGAAGUGUAAUCUUGGGGCUUAACCCUGAGCGUGCUUUCGAUACGGGUUGACUUGAGGAAGGUAGGGGAGAAUGGAAUUCCUGGUGGAGCGGUGGAAUGCGCAGAUAUCAGGAGGAACACCAGUGGCGAAGGCGGUUCUCUGGGCCUUUCCUGACGCUGAGGAGCGAAAGCGUGGGGAGCGAACAGGCUUAGAUACCCUGGUAGUCCACGCUGUAAACGGUGGGUACUAGGUGUGGGGUCCAUUCCACGGGUUCCGUGCCGUAGCUAACGCUUUAAGUACCCCGCCUGGGGAGUACGGCCGCAAGGCUAAAACUCAAAGGAAUUGACGGGGCCCCGCACAAGCGGCGGAGCAUGCGGAUUAAUUCGAUGCAACGCGUAGAACCUUACCUGGGUUUGACAUGGAUCGGGAGUGCUCAGAGAUGGGUGUGCCUCUUUUGGGGUCGGUUCACAGGUGGUGCAUGGCUGUCGUCAGCUCGUGUCGUGAGAUGUUGGGUUAAGUCCCGCAACGAGCGCAGCCCUUGUUCACUGUUGCCAGCACGUUAUGGUGGGGACUCAGUGGAGACCGCCGGGGUCAACUCGGAGGAAGGUGGGGAUGACGUCAAGUCAUCAUGCCCCUUAUGUCCAGGGCUUCACGCAUGCUACAAUGGCUGGUACAGAGAGUGGCGAGCCUGUGAGGGUGAGCGAAUCUCGGAAAGCCGGUCUCAGUUCGGAUUGGGGUCUGCAACUCGACCUCAUGAAGUCGGAGUCGCUAGUAAUCGCAGAUCAGCAACGCUGCGGUGAAUAAAUUCCCGGGGCU
rnacentral:rRNA from 1 species